rnacentral:rRNA from 1 species
GACGGAGGAUGCAAGCGUUAUCCGGAAUUAUUGGGCGUAAAGCGUCCGUAGGUGGUUGAAUAAGUCUGCUGUCAAAGACUGUGGCUUAACUAUGGGAAGGCAGUGGAAACUGAUCGACUAGAGUGUGGAAGGGGUAGAGGGAAUUCCCAGUGUAGCGGUGAAAUGCGUAGAUAUUGGGAAGAACACCAGUGGCGAAGGCGCUCUACUGGGCCAACACUGACACUGAUGGACGAAAGCUAGGGGAGCGAAAGGG